UCACUCUCUUGUUCUUCUGAGAUGGAUUUCUUCGCGACAUUUCCGGUGUAUCGAAGAAGCGCGUCGCGAUGGAUCAAGAAGGUUGUCGGAAGCGGUUCAUGUUCCGGCGGGUGUAAGCGGAAGGGCGUCGAUGAUGGAGAAGCGUCCGGGAAUCGGAACAAGAGGAGGAAUUCCCGGAGUUCUUCUCUUCUCCGUUGUUCGUUUCUCUUCGAGGGUCGUGAUUGUUUGUUAUAUUUGCGAGCAUUUUGGGUUAGCGAGCGCGUAAUCAAGUGGAAUUUGGACAUUGGAGGGCAAAAUCGCUGGUUUCACGUUGGGCGGUGAUGGAAUCAGAGGUCCUUUGGAUCUGGACGUCAGAGAUCUUGUCAAAAGCCAGUUAGCUGUUUCUUACUUGGGCACGGCCAAUCGAGGGAAUGCGGGUUGCAAUUACCUGGUAUCCUGGAUGAACUGCUCAGGUACUAUGCUAUUGGUGAGAAUCUGUUUGGUAUUGCCUUUCUUUAUUCACCCUUAUAAUGUAACAGUCUCUUUUUCGGUGGUCAUUUGUGCUUAAAAGGAGGCAGUUCCUGUUUGUUUCCGUUUCUCUAUCUGUCUUGUGCAAUUUACAUCUUGAAACAAGUGGACAAACUUUGGCAAGUGACAUUUAAAUUACAUCCUGGGGUUUAAAGGGGUUCAUGUGUUGGUUUUGCUCGUGCAGAUUUCCUUGACUGAUUAUUUAUUAAUUUUCAGGGCCAAUGAUCGUUCUGUAGAACUUAAUUUUUGUAUUGAGUUAGUAUGUUGUGGAUGAAGUUUGAUUGUCGUUGAGCUG